UACGUAGGGUCCGAGCGUUGUCCGGAAUCACUGGGCGUAAAGCGCGCGCAGGCGGUCUUUCACGUCCGGGGUGAAAGCCCAGAGCUCAACUCUGGGAUUGCCUUGGAUACGGGGAGACUUUGAGGAUCGGAGAGGCAAGGGGGAAUUCCACGUGUAGCGGUGAAAUGCGUAGAGAUGUGGAGGAACACCUGUGGCGAAGGCGCCUUGCUGGCCGAUUUCUGACGCUGGAGGCGCGAAAGCGUGGGGAGCAAACAGG
rnacentral:rRNA from 1 species